UGGUGGGGUGACUUGUCUGCUUAAUUGCGAUAACGAACGAGACCUUAACCUGCUAAAUAGCCCGCAUUGCUCCGGCAGUGCGCUGGCUUCUUGGAGGGACUUUCGGCUCAAGCCGAAGGAAGUUUGAGGCAAUAACA
rnacentral:rRNA from 1 species